rnacentral:rRNA from 1 species
CAGUCGAGCGCAGGAAGCAAGCAGAUCCCCUUCGGGGGUGACGCUUGUGGAAUGAGCGGCGGACGGGUGAGUAACACGUGGGCAACCUGCCUGUAAGAUCGGAAUAACUCCGGGAAACCGGGGCUAAUGCCGGGUAAUCCUUUCUCUCGCAUGAGGGGAAGGUAAAAGAUGGCUUCUCGCUAUCACUUACAGAUGGGCCCGCGGCGCAUUAGCUAGUUGGUGAGGUAACGGCUCACCAAGGCAACGAUGCGUAGCCGACCUGAGAGGGUGAUCGGCCACACUGGGACUGAGACACGGCCCAGACUCCUACGGGAGGCAGCAGUAGGGAAUCUUCCGCAAUGGACGAAAGUCUGACGGAGCAACGCCGCGUGAACGAUGAAGGUCUUCGGAUCGUAAAGUUCUGUUGUUAGGGAAGAACAAGUACCGUUCGAACAGGGCGGUACCUUGACGGUACCUAACGAGGAAGCCCCGGCUAACUACGUGCCAGCAGCCGCGGUAAUACGUAGGGGGCAAGCGUUGUCCGGAAUUAUUGGGCGUAAAGCGCGCGCAGGCGGUUCCUUAAGUCUGAUGUGAAAGCCCACGGCUCAACCGUGGAGGGUCAUUGGAAACUGGGGAACUUGAGGACAGAAGAGGAGAGUGGAAUUCCACGUGUAGCGGUGAAAUGCGUAGAUAUGUGGAGGAACACCAGUGGCGAAGGCGACUCUCUGGUCUGUCUCUGACGCUGAGGUGCGAAAGCGUGGGUAGC